GAGGGUGUAGCUCAGUGGUAGAGCGUGUGCUUAGCAUGCACCCAAGGUCCUGGGUUCAAUCCCCAAUACCUCCA
rnacentral:tRNA from 1 species